GACGAACGCUGGCGGCGUGCUUAACACAUGCAAGUCGAACGGAAAGGGCCUGCUUUUGUGGGGUGCUCGAGUGGCGAACGGGUGAGUAACACGUGAGUAACCUGCCCUUGACUUUGGGAUAACUUCAGGAAACUGGGGCUAAUACCGGAUAGGAGCUCCUGCUGCAUGGUGGGGGUUGGAAAGUUUCGGCGGUUGGGGAUGGACUCGCGGCUUAUCAGCUUGUUGGUGGGGUAGUGGCUUACCAAGGCUUUGACGGGUAGCCGGCCUGAGAGGGUGACCGGCCACAUUGGGACUGAGAUACGGCCCAGACUCCUACGGGAGGCAGCAGUGGGGAAUAUUGCACAAUGGGCGGAAGCCUGAUGCAGCAGCGCCGCGUGCGGGAUGACGGCCUUCGGGUUGUAAACCGCUUUCGCCUGUGACGAAGCGUGAGUGACGGUAAUGGGUAAAGAAGCACCGGCUAACUACGUG
rnacentral:rRNA from 1 species